rnacentral:antisense_RNA from 1 species
UGUGGGAGCGGGCUUGCUCGCGAAAGCGGUUUGUCAGUUACAUGAAUAUUGACUGACACGACGCCUUCGCGAGCAAGCCCGCUCCCACA